GUAUGGUUUGCUUAAAUCAAAUGGUGAUUGGUUUUGAUAAUAAAAGCAUACAAAGGACUAAAGUCAAUGUGUUAAUUAGUGUUGGGUUUUGGCCUUAUAAGAUGUCUCUCCACAGCUUAUGUGAUUAUAGCUUAUGUGGUUUAUGCACCUUUCUGUGAUAAUAUUUCUAUCAUUUGCUGAUCUUCUCUUGCCAAGCAGGAGCCCACGCCUUUCAUGCUUUGGUUAUGUUCUCCCCAAUCUGAUAAGUCUUUGCUGAUACUGGAACUAUAAAGGUAUUAUGGACCCACAAGGAUGACCAUGCUGUGAGAGCUAGUUUUAUGUGUCAACUUGCCUAGGCUAUAGCACUCAAAUACAUAACCCAACAGUAAUCUAGGGAUUGCUCCAAUUUAUGAUGUCACUUAUAUGUGGAAUCUGAAAAAAAGAUACAAAUGAACUUUUUUGCAGAACAGAAACAGACUUGUAGACUGAAAAUAAAACUCUGGUUACCAAAGGGCACAAGUAGGGGGUAGGAGAGAAGGGCUGGGGGUUUGACUGAGGUAUAUGGAAUGACUAGCCAAUAGGGACCUGUAGCACAGGGAACUCUACCAGAUAGACUGUCAUAAUCUAUAUGGGAAAAGCAUCUGAAAGAGAAUGGAUAUAUGUAUAUGUAUAACUGAGUCCCAUUGCUGUGCAGUGGAAAUUAUCACAACAUUGUAAAUCAACUGUAUUUCAAUAAGAAUGUUAAACAUUUUAAAAAGUUUAAAAUUGAGGGAAAAAAAUAAAUUAAAAUUUUAUUUUAAAUAAAAAUAAAAGAAAAAAUAAACUAAAAUUUAAAAAAAUUUAACGAAAAGAGGAUUAAGAGGGAUAAACUACUAUGUAUAAAAUAAGUAAGUUAUAAGAAAUAUAUUGCAUAGCAUGGGGAAUAUAGCCUAUAUUUUAUAAUAACUAUAAAUGGAGUAUAAUCUUUAGAUAUUGUGAAUCACUAUAUUGUAUCCCUGAAACAUAUAAUAUUGUAAAUCAACUAUACCACAAUUUUAAAAAAUGUGCAAGAGUUCCCUGGUGGCCUAGUGGGUUAAGGAUCUGGCAUUGUCAUUGCUGUGGCUUGGGUCAUUGCUAUGGCACAGGUUUGAUCCCCGGCCUG
rnacentral:lncRNA from 1 species